GUUGAACGCUGGCGGCAGGCCUAACACAUGCAAGUCGAGCGGAGCGGCGGACGGGUGAGGAAUGACGAGGAAUCUGCCUGGGCGUGGGGGACAAAGUACGGAAGCGGGAGCUAAUACCGCAUAAGAUCAGGUGAGCAUCGGGCGGAUUAGAUAGUUGGUGGGGUAAAGGCCUACCAAGGCGAAGAUCCGUAACUGGUCUGAGAGGAUGAUCAGUCAAACUGGAACUGAGACACGGUCCAGACUCCGACGGGAGGCAGCAGUGGGGAAUAUUGGACAAUGGGCGAAAGCCUGAUCCAGCCAUGCCGCGUGUGUGAAGAAGGUCUUCGGAUUGUAAAGCACUUUAAGUUGGGAGGCGUUACCAACAGAAUAAGCACCGGCUAACUUCGUGCCAGCAGCCGCGGUAAUAC
rnacentral:rRNA from 1 species